rnacentral:rRNA from 1 species
GUUAGGAAUAUUGGACAAUGGGCGAAAGCCUGAUCCAGCCAUGCCGCGUGAACGAUGAAGGCCUUCGGGUUGUAAAGUUCUUUAGCCGAUGAUUAUAAUGACUGUAGUCGGAAAAUAAGCCCCGGCUAACUUCGUGCCAGCAGCCGCGGUAAUACGAAGGGGGCGAGCGUUAUUCGGAAUCACUGGGCGUAAAGCGUGCGUAGGCGGUUUUGUAAGUUAGGAGUGAAAGCCCAGGGCUCAACCUUGGAAUUGCUCUUAAAACUGCAAGGCUCGAAUCUCGGAGAGGAUAGCGGAAUUUCCAGUGUAGCAGUGAAAUGCGUAGAUAUUGGAAGGAACACCAGUGGCGUAAGCGGCUAUCUGGACGAGUAUUGACGCUGAGGCACGAAAGCGUGGGGAUCAAACAGGAUUAGAUACCCGAGUAGUCC